rnacentral:rRNA from 1 species
UACGAAGGGGGCUAGCGUUGUUCGGAAUUACUGGGCUUAAAGGGUGCGUAGGCGGCGCGGAAAGUUGGGUGUGAAAUCCCUCGGCUCAACCGAGGAACUGCGCCCAAUACUACCGUGCUUGAGGGAGAUAGAGGUGAGCGGAACUUAGGGUGGAGCGGUGAAAUGCGUUGAUAUCCUAAGGAACACCGGUGGCGAAAGCGGCUCACUGGGGCUUUUCUGACGCUGAGGAACGAAAGCCAGGGUAGCGAACGGG